rnacentral:rRNA from 1 species
AUUGAACGCUGGCGGCAUGCCUUACACAUGCAAGUCGAACGGUAACGCGGGGCAACCUGGCGACGAGUGGCGAACGGGUGAGUAAUGCAUCGGAACGUGCCCAGUUGUGGGGGAUAACUGCUCGAAAGAGCAGCUAAUACCGCAUACGACCUGAGGGUGAAAGCGGGGGAUCGCAAGACCUCGCGCAAUCGGAGCGGCCGAUGUCGGAUUAGCUAGUUGGUGGGGUAAAGGCCCACCAAGGCGACGAUCCGUAGCUGGUCUGAGAGGACGACCAGCCACACUGGGACUGAGAAACGGCCCAGACUCCAACGGGAGGCAGCAGUGGGGAAUUUUGGACAAUGGACGCAAGUCUGAUCCAGCCAUGCCGCGUGCGGGAAGAAGGCCUUCGGGUUGUAAACCGCUUUUGUCAGGGAAGAAAUCUUCUGACCUAACACGUCGGGAGUCUGACUUAACCCAUAUAAGAAGCACCGGCUAACUCUGUGCCAGCCGCCGCCGUAACAC